UUGAAAGGGAAACGAUUGAAGUCAGUCGUACCGGCGGGUAAUCAGCCUUUUGGGUGUGAUUAUGUGGAGUGUGAGGAGUUAAUCACCCUCAUCUUUGCAUAUUCGUGCACUUUGGGUGUACUUGCUCGUGUGGUAGGUUAACAUCAAUUUUGAUCGUCAUAAAAUGACUGGAGGAAUGUAGCUUCGAUCUCGUAUUGAAGUGUUAUAGCCUUUGGUAGAUGUGAUGAUUAGGAUUGAGGAUUGCAACGGAUACCCUUCGGGGCUAACUGUCUGAUCUCUGAAAGUUGCUCUGGUGCUGAAAGCUUGCUUAUGGUAUCAAAGUUUGACGUUCAAUAGGUUAGAACGGGAUAAAUUCGUUAAGGAUGUUGACGUA
rnacentral:rRNA from 1 species